CGUCAUACACCGGACAGUCCAGCAAAGCGUGCUUCUCAUCUCCAAUGUGGCUAUCAGUGCUGCAGCAGGGGCAUACUCGCUCCACUUUAGGUAUAUGUGUGUGAAACAGGGGGGUGUAUCUUCCCCCUGGGGGUUGUAUCCCUCAUCUAGACACCUUUGUCAACUUCUCUGUGGGUCGCUCAGGUUCCGCACCCACCAUCAGCAUCCAACGGAGUCUGUCGGGUCGACAGCGGCCCAACUUCGUUCCUGGUCGACUCGCAGAUUAACUUUAUCCCAAGUCACCACCGUCCAUCACAUCAUUGCCUUCCAUCAUGGGAUGGACUCUGACCCAAAUGGGUAUCGAUCCCGGGAUCUCCCGGGGGCAAUGGUCGCGCCUUACCAG
rnacentral:lncRNA from 1 species